rnacentral:lncRNA from 10 species
CCUUGAGCACAGGCCCAGGGAUUUUGUGGUGAAAACAGCAACCAUAACAGCUGAGGCAGGUGCUAGGAGGCUGUGCCCUCAUCCCCUAGGCCCACCUGAUGCUACCUGCAGUUGCUGUGGAAAGUUCCAGAACACUGAUGACUUCCCAUCCGGGGCACCCGCUCUCUCAGGUUAUUCUGAGAGCUGAUUGACAUAUGCAUGGGCAGAUGUUUUAUAAACUGCAUUCUCUACAAACUGAAGGGGCAAAUGUGAUGGAUUCCAAGGCUCCACAAGACAUUAUCAUGGUCAAUGUCCAGCAGACCAGAUAUGGGGUGAUCAAUUGUUUGAAGGUAAAAGUUGUCAAGAAUAACUUUAGACUUUGCUGGGAAUGCAAUAUCUUCUGACAAGGAGGAGUUGGCUGGAACAGCCUGGGCUCUGUACCUGUCCCUCAGAUGUCCUUUGGUGCUUUAGCCCAGUGACUCAUCGAUCUCCCAGAUUGAAGUUUGCUGGGAGAUUCCAACUGACCUGGAAGUUGCUGGAUUGAUGGGAAGAGAUCCUUCUAAUCUUAGAAGAAUUCUUGGAAUGGCUCAGAAAUAGAAACUCAAGAAGCAGAGGGAUUUAAUUACACAGGAGCUGGGACUUCUAGAUUAUGACAUUUAUAUGGUUUGGGUCUGUGUCCCCACCCAAAUCACAUGUCAAAUUAUAAUCCCCAAUGUUGGCGGUGGAGCCUGGUGGGAGGUGAUUGGAUCAUGUGGGUGGAUUUUCUUUUUGGUGCUGUUCUCAUGAUAGUGAGUGAAUUAUCAUAAGGUCAGGUUGUUUAAAAGUGUUUGGCACCUUCCCACUUUCUCUCUUCCUUCUAUUCUAGCCAUGGUUGAAGACAUGCCUGUUUCCCCUUCGCCAUCUGCCAUGACUGUAAGCUUCCUGAGGCCUUCCCAGUCAUGCUUCCUGUAUAGCCUGUGGAAACAUGCGCCAAUUAAAACCUCUUUUCUUUAUAAAUUACCUAGUCUCAGGUAUUUCUUUAUAGCAAUGCAAGAAUGGACAAAUACAGACAUCUUACGGAAAAAAGUUUAUCAAGUGGAAAGCUCUAUUGUGUACCCUCCUUGAAAAUAGAUGACCUGUUUUCUCAUCUUUCUCUUAGCGUGCUGUGGUCUUCACAUGCAGAAAGAGGAACAAGUUAAGUAGUGGUUGUCUUUGAAUAUUUUCUUAUUGAAUGGUUUCUGGCCUGGCUCAGUCCCCUUAACAUGUCAUCCUAAAGAAAUAACGAAAUAUCUUUUCCUUACAAGGCUUUCUAAAGUAUGACUUAUAAGUCAGAAACCACAAGAGAAAAUAUUAAUAAGUCCAAUAAUGUUAAAAUUGACUUAGCUAAAUGCAUCAUAAACAAGAUAAAAAAAACAUCAAACUGGAAAGAUGUUUGCAGGCUAUGUCACAGAGGAACGGAUGGUUUCUCUAAUAUAUAAAAAGUUCCAACAAACUGAUAAGAAAAGUGGACAAAGAAUACAAAAAGUCCAUAGAAAAGGAAGUAAAACUGCUUCUUAAGCAUAUGAAAAUUUACUUAGUCUCACGAGUAAGAAACAUAAAUUUUAAAAAACAUGGAGAUAGGCUGGGUGCAAUGGCCCACGCCUGUAAUCCCAGCACUUUGGGAGGCUGCUGCAGGUGGAUCAUUUGAGGUCAGUUUGAAAUCAGACUGGCUAACAUGAUGAAACCCUAUCUCUACUAAAAAUACAAAAAUUAACCAGGCAUGGUGGCAGGUGCCUGUAAUCCCAGCUACUAGGGAGGCAGAGGCAGGAGAAUUGCUUGAAUCUGGGAGGCAGAGGUUGAAGUGAGCCAAGAUUGUGCCACUGUACUCCAGCCUGGGCAACAGAGCAAGACUCCCUCUCAAAAAAAAACCACAAAAAAACAAAAACAAAAAAAGCCAGAAAACCCCCGCAAAACAUGGAGAUAAUCUUUUUCGUUUUUUCUGGGUGGCAAAGAUUAAAAAGUUAGAAAAUGCCAAGAUAGCGAGAGGUGUGUAUGAGUGUGAUAUUGGUGGUAGCGUAAAUUGCUAUAACUCUCUUGGGGGGGAAUUUGGCAAUAUCUUACCAAUAUCCUGCCAAUAUCUUUCUUACUCAUAAGUCAAAACUGUGCUUGUUAAAUCCACAAAUGAUAAUGUUUUUCCAUGUAUAUUGAAGUUUCUUAAGUAGUGUUUUAUAGAAUAAGUUUUCCUAAUACAUCAUUGAAGAGGUUUUCAGGAGCAUAGUUUGAAAAAUACUGACAGGUAUAAUGUAGGAAGUAGUUAGAAUAUAUCUGGGAGCUACCAACACCAUUCAGGUCUAGCUAUAGUGAUGUUUGCUGCCCCUCUUAGGAAGGGAAACCUUUCACAAACCUCCACCUUCAUUUUCUCCUCUUGCAAAUGCUUUUUGGUCAGAAGCAUAAAUGCCAGAGCUGCAAAAGUGAUUCAAAACCCAAGAGAACUCCCUGGGGAUAGUCUGUUCUCUCUGUAGCUGGGACAAGGAGAUGGCAGGCCCUUCUCUUCCCAAGAACCUCCCUGAUGUGCAACGAGAGGCCACAGACUUAUCUUGCAGCAUUAAUUAGGAGAGAUGCAACAUUUGGGGACAAUCUGUUCAAGAAACCCUGCACAGGACACGUUUUCAUCCUGGGCUCUGGGGCUGAUAUGUGCCAGUGGCCUAACUCCACACACCUCGAUGGAAUUCUCUGGCAGAACCGCUCCAAAAUGUGUGGAAAAAUCUGUUUUUCUGGAUUCUCCUUCUUUGCUUCAAG